UACAGAGGGUGCGAGCGUUAAUCGGAAUUACUGGGCGUAAAGCGCACGUAGGCGGCUUGGUAUGUCGGGUGUGAAAUCCCCGGGCUCAACCUGGGAACUGCAUCCGAAACUGCCUUGCUCGAGUAUGGGAGAGGGAAGUGGAAUUUCCGGUGUAGCGGUGAAAUGCGUAGAUAUCGGGAGGAAUACCGAUGGCGAAGGCAGGUCUCUGGGCUGACACUGACGCUCAUGCACGAAAGCGUGGGGAGCAAACAGG
rnacentral:rRNA from 1 species